rnacentral:rRNA from 1 species
CCGUCAAUUCCUUUGAGUUUUAAUCUUGCGACCGUACUCCCCAGGCGGUCGAUUUCACGCGUUAGCUUCGCUACUAAGCAGUCAUGCUGCCCAACAGCUAAUCGACAUCGUUUAGGGCGUGGACUACCAGGGUAUCUAAUCCUGUUUGCUACCCACGCUUUCGGGCAUGAACGUCAGUGUUAUCCCAGGAGGCUGCCUUCGCCAUCGGUAUUCCUCCACAUCUCUACGCAUUUCACUGCUACACGUGGAAUUCUACCUCCCUCUGACACACUCUAGUCACCCAGUUCAGAACGCAGUUCCCAGGUUGAGCCCGGGGAUUUCACAUCCUGCUUAAGUAACCGUCUGCGCCCGCUUUACGCCCAGUAAUUCCGAUUAACGCUCGCACCCUACGUAUUACCGCGGCUGCUGGCACGUAGUUAGCCGGUGCUUAUUCUUCAGGUACCGUCAUCAGACAGGGGUAUUAACCCCGCCCUUUUCUUCCCUGACAAAAGUCCUUUACAACCCGAAGGCCUUCUUCAGACACGCGGCAUGGCUGGAUCAGGCUUGCGCCCAUUGUCCAAAAUUCCCCACUGCUGCCUCCCGUAGG